rnacentral:rRNA from 1 species
UGGGGAAUUUUGGACAAUGGGCGAAAGCCUGAUCCAGCCAUUCCGCGUGAAUGAUGAAGGUCUUAGGAUUGUAAAAUUCUUUCACCGGGGACGAUAAUGACGGUACCCGGAGAAGAAGCCCCGGCUAACUUCGUGCCAGCAGCCGCGGUAAUACGAAGGGGGCUAGCGUUGCUCGGAAUUACUGGGCGUAAAGGGAGCGUAGGCGGAUAGUUCAGUCAGAGGUGAAAGCCCAGGGCUCGACCUUGGAAUUGCCUUUGAUACUGGCUGUCUUGAGUAUGGGAGAGGUUAGCGGAACUCCGAGUGUAGAGGUGAAGUUCGUAGAUAUUCGGAAGAACACCAGUGGCGAAGGCGGCUAACUGGCCCAUUACUGACGCUGAGGCUCGAAAGCGUGGGGAGCAGACAGG